CCAGGCAAUCCUCGCAUCCCAGGUUGGAGGUCUGGGUCGCCCGCCGUGUCCAACCUUGCCUCCAAGCUGUACUGUCGCCCAGCACCUCAUCUGACCUCGACUGAUACCAUUGAACCUCGUAUCCGGCCACCGCGAGCUGACAACCUCGACCCGUACAUCCUCAGGUCAACUCCCAACCACUAGGCUGCUCUCCAAGGUCACGACCGCCUUCGCUGAUGAUGCCCUCGAGGAUGACCCCAUCCACACUUCAACCAUGGAUUCAGGAAAUGGUCGAUUUGGUGGGUUUUCCCAGCCUGUGAUCAAUCACCAUGGCCGCAUGUAAUAUCCUAAGUGGUUGGUUUUGACAUGUUCACCAAGCCCAGGAGAUGAUUUUAUCGUUUUUGUUUCGAGUUCUUCUUGGGAUGAUAAAUCAUGCUUCCGAGAAAUAAGGCAAAGGAUAAAUCCAUUUUUCUUUCCAUUUGCAACAAGGUGAAAAUAUUUCGUAUCAGUUCCCCCUUCCUGUAAAUGCUUUAUCUUGGUGAGCCCAUUUGGUCUCCUUAUCCCUCCUGAGUCCAUAAGCAAACUCAUUUGCACUUUCUCUUCUGCCAAAAAGUAGCAAGCUUUUCCUUAUUUUGUUUUCAUAUUCUAAUGCCAAAAGGUAUCAUUACACAAAGGUUGCGUCUUAUUUAUUCUGUGUUCUUCAUCUAUUUACUGGAUUUGAACUUGAGGUCUUAAAGUAGAAGAGGCAGUUGUCGCUGGUAAGUGCUUGGAGCAGAAUCGUGUUCGAUGUCGUCGACUCGAUAUCUCUCCCAGCCACGGGUAAAAUCUACCCGCAUUGCCGCAAGCCCGCAGCUACCCCCACUUAUUUGUUUCAUCCGCAUCUCUGACGAUUCCAUCGGCGGCGGCUGUAACCCUAGCUUGUGGACGGACUGAGAAUCGCAGGGUGUUGUCAUGUUAUUGAUUGAUUCACAAAUGUGAAUCGAUUCCCCAUGAAGGUGAACAUGUGGACAUGGUGAAGGUGCUGCAAGCCAAAACAUUAUGCUUAUUUGGUGGGCCAUAAAUGGUUGGAAAUAAUAACUGUUCUUGGAGUUUGCCAUUAUCGUAAGUUUACCUUCGUCACAUUUGUUUAUGAGGGUUGGGUGUCAUAUGAGCGACAUUUGGUGAAUGCAUGUAUGUAUCCAUGUUGCUUUUAUAUAGCCUUCUGAUUUAAUCAGCUCUUAUUGGCCUUAGAUCAUAAUUAACCAAAAAUAUUGGAUGCAGAAUUCAUUAUGAAUCAAGUACACCCUUGCCGUGGCUUUGUGUAAAUUCCAGGCAGGAAAUUAAGCUAAAAAUGCUUCCUGCCAAAAAAGUUAUCAGUUUUCCAGCUUGGAAGUCAGAAGCCAGGUAGCAUGAAACCAGUUUGUUAGAGUCAAAUGACUCUUUCCAUUUGCAGCUCGGAAUUGUAAAAGUGUAGCUCGCUGACCAUUUUUUCGUGUAAAUUCUUUCGUGUUAUUCCUUUUGUCGGUUUGUGCAAGAGCUACACCAAAGACACCAAUACUGGCUGAGGCAUGCCAUGUACAGAGAACAGAGGCAAGCUACACCAAAGACACCAAUGCUGGCUGAGGCAUGCCAUGUACAGAGAACAGAUGCCUCUGUUAAGAAUUGAAAGUAAAGGAGAUCCAGACAAAGCAAAUAAUUCAAGUGUGUGUUCUUUAUUUACAAGGAGUGCCACCAAAAGUGUCUAUCGGAAGAGAUGCCAUCAAAAAAUGACAGUUACAUAUUUGAGAGAGAGUGAAGGGACGUGUCCCUUAAGCACGGUUUCUACAUAUUUAACAUGCGCUAAAUAUAAUUCUAACAGCCUCAACCUGCAACAGAGGGCGACUGUUAUUAUUGUGGGAUGUUUAUGUCCAUUGAUAGCAUGAUAAAUUAAUGUUUGUUUUGCAAUAUGUUUUACCA